CAUCCAUCCUCCUGCCCGCCGCCACCUGCCUGCCUUCUCUUUCCUCGGGAUCUCACCCGAUCCAAUCCACCAACCAGCGCUCCCCCAUGGCCCUCCUCGAUCCUCAUCACUCGCAGCCUCCAACACCCAUCGACCAAUCCAGCCGAGGGCCUCGUCCCCGAGCCGACCUCCAUGGAAGAGGUGCAGCGCUCCGCCCCUCUCUGCCUUGCGUCGGAGCACCUGCCGCAUCGAGCGCCCGCAGCUCCAUUCCCAUGUACGCCUCCGUUCAGCUGCUGCCGACGAGCAGAUGAGUCGCCGCCCGUCUCCUUUUCUCCCCCUGUUUUCCUCUCUUUCCUCCUCUAACCUCCCCCCCUCGUUUGAUUUCUUCUCUGCCAGGAAAUGAAAGGGGCUCGCCCUUGAUGUCGUGGCCGCCGGCGACCGAAGCCGCCGUGUGUCCUCUCCUUCCCGUCCCUGCCGUCCCCGUCGGGGUUGACCUCCAGCGCCGCCAAGCCAAGUCCCUCGUCUUGCCUCCCUUCAUUCCCAGCUACCCCAGCGACCCUGCGUCCCUGACAUAGCCCGCGCCAAGUCCUCGCAAGCCGCCGCCCGGAGCAGGCCGCCUCCUCACCUCGUCCGCAUCGCCGGGAUCGCCUCAAGUUCACCACCGUCGCCCAAGUCCCUCGCCUCGCCGCCCCUUCGCCCUGCUCGCUGCAACCUUGCGCGUCUGCAACUAUGCGGGGCAUCGCUCCCGAGCGCAUUGGCCACGCCCUUCCCCAGCGGCCUCGCUCAGCCUCUGCCUCGAUUCGGCCGAGCGCCGCUGCCUCCCCUGCCGACUUGAACCCCGCCGGAUCCGGUGACCCUUGCCGCCGCCGUCGCCAAGAACCUCGCCGGAGAACCAUGUCCCGCUUCUGGAACCGCUCAUCUCCGUCGCCUGCCGCCGCUCUGAACCUGCGCCUCCGCAGUCUCUACAUCCCGUGUGAAAGAAGUCCACAUCACCCCCCGGGGAUUCAGAAACCGACUAAUCCACCCCCUCAACUUUAAAACCGGUUAAUUAACCCCCCGAGAGCUCUAAUACCGGUCAAAUCACCCCCUAAUCCCAAUUCAGGUGGUAUUGGCUGGUGGUUUUGCUUGCGUGGCUCUCUAUUGCCACGUCGGCUUGGUUGGGGGCGCUAGGCCAUAUGAGCACGGGCCGCUGGUUGUUCUUAGUUCAUCCAAUCCCCAAUCCUUCAUCUCUUCCUCCUCCCUGUUCGUCGCCAUGCCCACCCAGCUGAAGCUACAUGUACCUUGUUCUCGGGUUCCUCUCCCCUGCUCGCAGCCAUGGCCGACCCCCUCGUAGCACUCUGAAGAACUCUGAAGAGCCCCCCCGGCGACCUGGAGGCGCCCUGAACAAGGACCGCCCUUGCCAUGGCUGAACAGCACAGCGCAGUCUCAUAUUGGAGUUCCCUGUUUGAUGCACAUCGUGAGUAUUAGGACAGUACAGGCUAGAGAUCAUCAGAGACUCAGGUCAAGUGCUACAGGUGGAGUGGGGCUAGAAGGUGAACAAUUUCACCAAGCCGUUCCUUGUACAUGAUCCGAAUAGACCAGGAUUUGGCAGAGCCCAAAACUGAAGCCUGCUCAGUGCAUCCGUACUUGCAGGAAAACUACAUACAAAAUCCUCCCAGGGGCCCAAAUGGUGUACAUUAUACUCUUUGUAGGCAUGUAUUGAUGCCUUGAGAAGAGAGAAUUCAGUUUACUUGAGAUUGAGAAUUAGUAUGUGUAAAAAUGUUUAUAUUCUCUUGUUGAUGGUGUUGUCCCAGUUUAGUUGAGAACUAGAGAAUUCAGAGAAAGCAUUUUAUUUAGGGAGUGUACUUCUGAGUCUAUAGACCGUUGCAUAUGCGCAAACAUAUGUAAUCUGAAUGCAAUAUUUUCUUGUGACAUGAAAGAAAGCUUUUUUGUGAACUGAA